rnacentral:rRNA from 1 species
UCUGAAUGGGGAAACCCACCCACGGUAACGUGGGUAUCCCACACUGAAUCCAUAGGUGUUGGGAGGCGAACCGGGGGAACUGAAACAUCUCAGUACCCCGAGGAAAAGAAAUCAACCGAGAUUCCCCUAGUAGCGGCGAGCGAACGGGGACCAGCCCUUAAGCAUGUGACGGAUUAGGCGAACGUGCUGGGAAGCACGGCCAUAGCGGGUGAUAGCCCCGUAGCCGAAAAUCUGAUCAUGUGAAAUCGAGUAGGU